GCGAACGCUGGCGGCAGGCUUAACACCUGCAAGUCGAGCGGGCAUCCUUGUGGUGUCAGCGGCAGACGGGUGAGUAACGCGUGGGAACGUGCCCUUCGGUUCGGAAUAACUCAGGGAAACUUGAGCUAAUACCGGAUACGUGCGAGAGCAGAAAGGUUUAUCUGCCGAAGGAUCGGCCCGCGUCUGAUUGCUAGUUGGUGAGGUUAUGGCUCACCAAGGCGACGAUCAGUAGCUGGUCUGAGAGGAUGAUCAGCCACACUGGGACUGAGACACGGCCCAGACUCCUACGGGAGGCAGCAGUGGGGAAUAUUGGACAAUGGGGGCAACCCUGAUCCAGCCAUGCCGCGUGAGUGAUGACGGCCUUAGGGUUGUAAAGCUCUUUUCUUCGGGACGAUAAUGACGGUACCGGAGGAAUAAGCCCCGGCUAACUUCGUG
rnacentral:rRNA from 1 species